UCGAACUGUUAACAUGGCGGGAAGAAUAGAAGACAAUUCUGUACUUCGUUUCAUUAAUAUAGUGAUAGCUAAUCAGUGUAACCGGAAUUAUUCCAUUGCCACAUACAGAUGUGACAUACAGAUGUGACGAAUGCCAUAUGGAGGAAAAUUUCAUCAGAAAUAAAAGACACAGGUUGUUGGAAGAGGAAGAACGAGAGAAUGUGGAAUCCAGUGUUUCAGUUGGUUCCAGUCCGUCUACUUGGAGUUCGUCAUCCCAUCAUGACAUCUUACAAACACAGUCUAACAUGUGCAAUAUUGCAACGAAUUCCGGUUUCAGUCCGAUUACCCCACUGUCACAAGAUAGUGAAACUAAUUGGUACAAUUUGUACAAUAUUAUAAACCAUUAUAAAAAUAAAACUGCUCAAUUUUAUUAAUACUA